rnacentral:misc_RNA from 1 species
UACAGAGGCCCCAAGCAUUAUCCGGAUUUACUGGGCGUAAAGGGUGCGUAGGCGGUGAUACUAGUCAGAUGUUAAAUCCUCGGGCUCAACCCGAGAAUCGCAUUUGAAACGGUAUCGCUAGAAGAUGUGAGAGGUAAGCAGAACUCACGGUGUAGGGGUGAAAUCCGUUGAUAUCGUGGGGAAUACCAAAUGCGAAGGCAGCUUACUGGCACACUCUUGACGCUGAGGCACGAAAGCGUGGGUAGCGAACGGG